rnacentral:rRNA from 1 species
UCCUCGCCCUCGUACUCAUAGUUCUUAAAAGAACUGCUCCCAGAACACUACUAGCCACAGCUUAAAACUCACAGGACCUGGCGCUGCUUCAUAUCCCUCUAAAGGAGCCUGUUCUGUAAUCCAUAAACCCCUAUCAACCUCACCACCUCUUGCUCACCCUAUUUACCGCCAUCUUCAGCAAAACAG